rnacentral:rRNA from 1 species
UACGUAGGGUGCAAGCGUUGUCCGGAAUUAUUGGGCGUAAAGAGCUCGUAGGCGGUUUGUCGCGUCUGCUGUGAAAACGCGGGGCUCAACUCCGCGCCUGCAGUGGGUACGGGCAGACUAGAGUGCAGUAGGGGAGACUGGAAUUCCUGGUGUAGCGGUGGAAUGCGCAGAUAUCAGGAGGAACACCGGUGGUGUAGACGGCUCUCUGGACCGUAACUGACGCUGAGGCACGAAAGCGUGGGUAGCAAACAGG